CUGGGGCGCUGGUCGGUGCGCGGGCUGGGACGCUAAGUCAUGAGGAAUUAAACUGGGAAACCUGGCGUGGGUCCAGGCGCCUUCCAGGAGGCAUCCGGCGCGGCCCGGACGUGCUUCUACCCAGAACCACCCCCUCCAGGCCGGGGUGCACUUAACGGGGCUAUACAAAGAGUCUGGUGGGUGACUGUGGGCCUCAUCCCUAUCCCGGGGUCUGAUAGGGAAGACUCUCGGGCCCCGCAGGGAAUAUCUGGCUAGUGCACCCUCGGCGGGAGCGCCACUCUCCCUCCUUGGGCGGCGCCCCCCACCUCUCAUCCCGCCCAAUCCGUUUUGCAAAGUCGGCCAAAACAAAAACAAACUUGGAGCGCUGAUAGGACACUGUUAUUGCCCAUCUGAACUCGUCAACUGAGAAGGAAAGAGAUGGUUUAUGCUGUGAAUAAAAUACAGUUGUGCUGUGAUGUAAAUCCCCUCAUCCUGGAGCAGCUGAGCAAGGUCUAAGGCAGGAAGAACCUUCAAGCAGGUCAUGGCUGUGCAGGCUCAACUCUGCCUGGCAGUGGCAAGGGCCAGGGCCAGUGACUGAAGCAACAAACUGCCAGAUGACUGCAGCUCAAGCCAAUGCACAAAGCCACUGCAACAAGAGAGGAAAUUCUUCCAUUUCCAAGUGUGUCGAUUUCUCCCCAUCAAGGAAAACAGCUAAGGCAAUGUGUUGAUAUUUUCUUUGACCAAGUCAUCAGGAGUCACAUAGACAUACAGCACUCAAGAAGUGGCUGUAACUAAAGGCACAUCUCGUUCAUCUACAACCCUUGUAAUCCCAACCUUUGUCUGAUGCACAAACCCUUCCCUAGUUCUCCCCACCACCACCACUGCACCUCCAAGUGGGGACAACGAAUUGUUUCAUUUGCAUGUGGUUUUUCUCAUGAAAAAUAUCAUUAACAUGAGACAGCCCCAAACCAAGGAAACCAGAAGUGGGGUUUGUGCUUGGUCUUACUGAGAGCUUUCCCUACUUGACCAGACCCCAGCAUUGUUCUAGAUUUGUCUCUUGUGGGCUACAGGAAUGCAAACAUUUUGUAGUUUCCUCUUUUUUGUUUUCUUAAUGGCUUGAUGAGCCACACAUGUUUCUCUAAAUGCAUGAUUUUAAAUUCACACAAU
rnacentral:lncRNA from 1 species